GUCCCGACAGCCCCAGUGCACUGAAUCUCUAGAAGGAAGGAGGCUGAGUACAGCAGAGAAGGAAGGUGUGGACCAGGUCCUUGGAGCAGCCCUGAGAACUGAAAAGGUCACUGGGCAGGAAUGGUGGCAUUUGCUGCCUCUGCACAUGGCGGUAACUGGAUCAGCAGAGAGCCCCUCGCCAUCCUCCUACAAGGCCUGCGCCAUCCUGAAAUAGCCCGAAUGUAUGUAUGGUAUCUUCUGGAACAGAAGAAGCCAACAUUUAAACAUCCCUGGUAUCUUGUUUAUGCCUGGUAGUUACCAACAAGGCAGGUGGGCUCUGUAGACUCAUUCCUUGUGAGGGCUCCUGGAUCAACAGCACACAUAUCUUCCGAGGCUAGGAGCUGAGGUCAGCACUCACACAGGCUGCUGCUUGAGGGAUGGCCUUCAUGCAGCUGAUGUCUGCAAUCACAGGCUGGGCCCAGCUCCAGGCCCCUAACCCUAGACAUCUCCUUUUAUAGUAGGAAAAAAAA